CACUUAGAGGAAGGAGAAGUCGUAACAAGGUUUCCGUAGGUGAACCUGCGGAAGGAUCAUUCGCACUAUCCAAACAACCAAUGUGAAUCUCCUCUGUGAGCGACUGGGUGGAGAUGGUUGAGUCUCUUCUUGAGGGUCACUUCCUGCAUCUGGGAGCUCGCGGGUGGCAGGGCAAACCUGGCUUAAACACCUGGGUUUGUUUCUGUUGCCAUUGUUCUUAAACUUUGGUUUCUUCUACUUGUGUUACAGCCUUCCAGACUGUAAAGUUUGUAUCUUACAACUUUCAGCGACGGAUAUCUCGGCUCAAGCAUCGAUGAAGGGCGCAGCGAAGUGUGAUAAUCAUUGUGAAUUGCAGAAUUCCGUGAACCAAUGGAAACUUGAACGUGCAUUACACUCUCGGGAUAUCCCUGGGAGUAUGCCUGCUUCAGUGCUUGUGGAAUCCUCAUGCAGGUGUGUCCUGAGUUGGCAUGCCUGUGUCUCUGUGUGCCAUGACUGUAACUCUACAGCCAGUGGCACAUUCAGGUUUCUAGAUUGCUCUGGCAUCUGCAACUUGUGAAGUGACUUCGGUUACAUGCUCGUUGCGGUGUCUAAGGGCUCCAUUGUCUUGCUUCGGCAAGCUCCUGCACAGCAUGAAGUCAGGUCAGCAAACCCGCUGAAUUUAAGCAUAUAAGUAAGCGGAGGAAAAG
rnacentral:rRNA from 1 species